rnacentral:rRNA from 1 species
AUUGAACGCUGGCGGCAGGCUUAACACAUGCAAGUCGAACGAGUGGCGGACGGGUGAGUAAUGCUUGGGAAUCUAGCUUAUGGAGGGGGAUAACUACGGGAAACUGUAGCUAAUACCGCGUACCAUAGGAUGAGCCCAAAUGGGAUUAGGUAGUUGGUGAGGUAAAGGCUCCCCAAGCCGACGAUCUCUAGCUGGUCUGAGAGGAUGACCAGCCACACUGGGAAGGAGACACGGCCCAGACUACUACGGGAGGCAGCAGGGGGGAAUAUUGCGCAAUGGGGGCAAGCUGAAGCAGCAAUGCCGCGUGAAUGAAGAAGGCCUUAGGGUUGUAAAGGUCUUUCGGUAGCGAGGCGUUAACUACAGAAGAAGCACCGGCUAACUCCGUGCCAGCAGCCGCGGUAAUAC